GAAGUAAUGUGUUUACAGAAUUAUACUCUCUCAAGUCUCAACCGUCUAUAUAACUCUCGUGUGACAUGUUCAACAACCAUGACGAUAUGAUUAGAGAGUCUUAGAAUCAAUGUAACAACCAUAAUUUGUGCAAUCUCUACUGUAGUCUUCAAAACAGACACAAUAAUUUUUUAUUCUGGAGACCUGUAUAAUUUAGUCAGUUCACAAGAGGUAAAGAAAACAUAUAUUAAGUCAAUGAUACUGUUACUAAAAAAGAAAGAUAGAUUAGCGUAGUAAUUUUACAAGUCCUGGGAAAACAUUUGCUUCAAUGACAGCUUCGAUCAUUUCCCAUGAGCCCGCGUAAGUAAGGAAAAAAAGAGCCCGACAUGCAUUUACUACAACUUCUUCAUCAGUCAUCAACAAAAGUUUCCAAGGAUAGGCAAUACAGGUUGAAUCUGAAAAGAUAACACUAUAGCAUGCUGUUGGAGAAGAAAUGAUAACAACCAAUGUGUAAAUUAUUUUAGUUUUGAUAAUACUAUAUAUUUUAUUAAUUUACAUAAGAUCUGCUAACUCUAAUGUACAAGCAAUAUUUUGAGCAAAUUUUUUUCCAACCUGUUCGAGUUUUGGAGCGGCUUUUCACGGCACAAAUUAAAUAUAGUCCAUGAAGCGAUCAAGAUAGAUAUUUUAUGGAUUCAACAGAUCACUGUUGCCAGGAGUGUACCAUGACUGAGAACAAAUCCCUCAGGAAAUCACCAGCAAUAUUACCUAAUUCCCAUGUCGCCGGUUAAAUACACGAUGGGACAUGGAAAUUGUGUGAGCAAGCAACACAUACAUGCAUACAUGACGGUUUUCUCAAUGUCAUUAUGCCAUGAGACUGAGGUAUAUUUGACCUGUUUUGUCAGCACUACUAGAGCACAAAAGAUGGACAAGCAAGGGAACGGUACCAUGUUCGAAUACAAUUCUUGUAUGCUCAGAUGUUCCGACGCGAUGUUGGUCAGAGUCCAUGCUGCCACGAACUGCAAAUAUAAUGUACUACUUAUUGUGUAAAUGAGAUAAAAAUCACAAGCUGUGGGACAACACCUGCCCGAAUCACCUCAUCAAUUAGAGCAAUUUGGCCUGAAAAGAGAUGUGUCAAUGAAAGUGCAAUGAAAGAAGGCACAAUCCAUUCCAAGCCAAAUGAAGGGGUCCCACAAGAGAAUAAUUCUGUUAGAGUGGGUCCGGGAAUUCCGGUGCCAAGGAGGGGAAUGAGAAAUCGCACGACUAGCUCAAGGCUGCAGGACUACGUACACCCAAGAUCUAGUAUUUAGGGAAUGAGGUCAAUAACUAAAAGGGGAUAUGAUUAGUUAGGUCUAUCAAUUCUUCUUCCUUUCUCUGAUCAUACUUUCUAAUAGUGCGUUAUUGUACGAUUUCCUUCCUUCUAGAUUGGUAUUCAGAAGUAAUUUAAUAAACCCAAUUUCAGUACUCCUCUUCUUAAAAUUUUAGCACGUUACAUUUGGUGCUUUCAUUUCACCAUGGCAGAAAACACAAGGUUGAAAGAGCUCAGUUCUGACGUCAAGCGCAACGCUGAAGCAAUCGAAAAACUCUCCAACGAUAUUCACGAGCAGAUGUCCCGAUUGGGAAUUGCAAAUUCCUCUCGCUUUGAACAACUGGAGGCGAUGCAAAUGAACACAGAGAGCAAGUUUUCGCAGACCACAUCCGCGCUUGAUAUGCUACUGAACCAGAGCCCACAACGAAAAACCCAUGGUGCCGGUAACUCAAACAAACAAUCAUUUCAGGUGAGAAACAUUAAACUUGAAUUUCCGCGUUUUGAUGGCAACAAUGUGCUAGAAUGGAUAUUUCGUGCAGAGCAGUUUUUUGAUUAGGGUUUAGGAUUAUAAGAGCUACAUCAUGAGUAUAAAUAUACCCUUUCUUACAAAUCUGAGCAGUUGCCUCCAGUUGUGAAGCAAGAUCGCCAGACAAUAAUUUUUGUGUCAUUGUAGGAAUGCAUUGCAUCUGUUAAAGGACAUUAAAAGAUAAAAAAAUUAUUUCUAUGCUGCAAUUAAGAAACACACACAAAGCUCUAUCUUUGGAUAUGCAUACAAGUAUCUCUAGCUCUUAAAUAGUCAUUUUUUUCCUGCAGAAUUCUGCUGCAGCUCUCUUAUUUUGGCAAUUGGUAGGUAGCUUUUUUUUUUUAUUUUUUUUUAUUUUUUAUUUUUUUAUAAAUUCCACCAUAACUAACUUGAGGUCCCGGGUUUGAACCCAAGACAAAACGUCCAACCUAACAAUAUCGACAUUUGUAAGUUAACUAGGACUUAAGGACAUGGCUAUACUCUUGAAAUGGAACAAUUAUCAUUGUCA